UAGGGAAUCUUCGGCAAUGGGGGGAACCCUGACCGAGCAACGCCGCGUGAGUGAAGAAGGUUUUCGGAUCGUAAAGCUCUGUUGUUAAGGAAGAACGAGUGUGAGAAUGGAAAGUUCAUGCUGUGACGGUACUUAACCAGAAAGGGACGGCUAACUACGUGCCAGCAGCCGCGGUAAUACGUAGGUCCCGAGCGUUGUCCGGAUUUAUUGGGCGUAAAGCGAGCGCAGGCGGUUAGAAAAGUCUGAAGUGAAAGGCAGUGGCUCAACCAUUGUAGGCUUUGGAAACUGUUUAACUUGAGUGCAGGAGGGGAGAGUGGAAUUCCAUGUGUAGCGGUGAAAUGCGUAGAUAUAUGGAGGAACACCGGUGGCGAAAGCGGCUCUCUGGUCUGUAACUGACGCUGAGGCUCGAAAGCGUGGGGAGCGAACAGG
rnacentral:rRNA from 2 species